rnacentral:rRNA from 1 species
UACGUAGGGUGCAAGCGUUGUCCGGAAUUAUUGGGCGUAAAGAGCUCGUAGGCGGUUUGUCGCGUCUGCUGUGAAAACCCGAGGCUCAACCUCGGGCCUGCAGUGGGUACGGGCAGACUAGAGUGUGGUAGGGGAGACUGGAAUUCCUGGUGUAGCGGUGAAAUGCGCAGAUAUCAGGAGGAACACCGGUGGCGAAGGCGGUCCGCUGGGCCAAGACUGACGCUGGAGGCGCGGACAGCGUGGGGAGCGAACAGG